AUUUUAAUUGCUUUGACGAUGAUGAUUUCUUUAAAUUCCCUCACAAAUUCCCUGGGUUCGAGUCAAAUGGAAGUGGCGUUUUCGAAUUUGAGUCGAAACCUCAAAUUAUCAAUCUCACGACACCCAAGCCCCUCUCUUCAAACGCCUUUGCUUUCAAAUUUGAAGUCAAACCUCAAAUCGUUGAACUUUCAGCGACAAAACCUCCAAUUUAUUCGAACUCGAGCUGUCAGAAUCGAAAACCGUCGCUAAAAAUCUCGUUACCACAUAAGGU
rnacentral:lncRNA from 1 species